rnacentral:rRNA from 1 species
UACGAAGGGGGCUAGCGUUGCUCGGAAUCACUGGGCGUAAAGCGCACGUAGGCGGCUUUCUAAGUCAGGGGUGAAAUCCUGGAGCUCAACUCCAGAACUGCCUUUGAUACUGGAGAGCUUGAGUCCGGAAGAGGUGAGUGGAACUCCGAGUGUAGAGGUGAAAUUCGUAGAUAUUCGGAAGAACACCAGUGGCGAAGGCAGCUCGCUGGGACGGUACUGACGCUGAGACGCGAAAGCGUGGGGAGCAAACAGG